AAGUCGAACGGGCACUUCGGUGCUAGUGGCAGACGGGUGAGUAACACGUGGGAACGUACCCUUUGGUUCGGGACAACUCUGGGAAACUGGAGCUAAUACCGGAUACGCCCUUUUGGGGAAAGGUUUACUGCCGAAGGAUCGGCCCGCGUCUGAUUAGCUAGUUGGUGGGGUAACGGCCUACCAAGGCGACGAUCAGUAGCUGGUCUGAGAGGAUGAUCAGCCACACUGGGACUGAGACACGGCCCAG
rnacentral:rRNA from 1 species